GAACGCUGGCGGCAGGCCUAACACAUGCAAGUCGAGCGGACCCUUCGGGGUUAGCGGCGGACGGGUGAGUAACGCGUGGGAAUAUGCCCUUCUCUACGGAAUAGUCCUGGGAAACUGGGGGUAAUACCGUAUACGCCCUUUGGGGGAAAGAUUUAUCGGGGAAGGAUUAGCCCGCGUUGGAUUAGGUAGUUGGUGGGGUAAUGGCCUACCAAGCCGACGAUCCAUAGCUGGUUUGAGAGGAUGAUCAGCCACACUGGGACUGAGACACGGCCCAGACUCCUACGGGAGGCAGCAGUGGGGAAUCUUAGACAAUGGGGGCAACCCUGAUCUAGCCAUGCCGCGUGAGUGAUGAAGGCCUUAGGGUUGUAAAGCUCUUUCAGCUGGGAAGAUAAUGACGGUACCAGCAGAAGAAGCCCCGGCUAACUCCGUG
rnacentral:rRNA from 1 species